GGUAGUAGCAAGUAUUCAAAUGAGAACUUUGAAGACUGAAGUGGAGAAAGGUUCCAUGUGAACAGCAAUUGGACAUGGGUUAGUCGAUCCUAAGCGAUGGGGAAAUCCUGUGUGAAGGGCGCAAUGCACGCCGCCCAUCGAAAGGGAAUCGGGUUAAUAUUCCCGAACCGGGACAAGGCAGUGGGUGGUAACGCUGACAAAUCCAGAGACACUAGCAGGGGCCCCGGGAAGAGUACUCUUUUCUUUUUAACGGCCUGCCGACCCUGAAAUCAGUUCAACCGGAGAUAGGGUCUCACGGCCGGCAGAGCACCGCACGUCCUGCGGUGUCCGGUGCGCCCCCGGUGGUCCUUGAAAAUCUGGAGGAGCGAGUGCUGAGCUUGCCCGGUCGUACUCAUAACCGCAUUAGGUCUCCAAGGUGAGCAGCCUCUAGUC
rnacentral:ncRNA from 1 species